AACGCACGAGACCUGCGGACCUGCGGAAGGAUCAUUACACAAUAAACAUAUGAAGGCUGCACCGCCAACAGGCGGCAAGGCUGGAGUAUUUUAUUACCCUUGUCUUUUGCGCACUUGUUGUUUCCUGGGCGGGUUCGCCCGCCUCCAGGACCACAUGAUAAACCUUUUUUAUGCAGUUGCAAUCAGCGUCAGUACAACAAAUGUAAAUCAUUUACAACUUUUAACAAUGGAUCUCUAGAU
rnacentral:misc_RNA from 1 species